AGUACUCUCAACUCAUGUGCCAUGUUCCUUUUAAGUGUUGAUGUAACACUUCCUGUACAAUUAUGAUGUUGUCUUGUAUCUGUCUCCCCUGAACGAAUGCACUCGGUUCUGGUUCGAUUAUCUCUGGAUUUUUCACUUUGGGGAUCAAGGUUAUAUAAGUCUGAUUCAAAUGAGGGUCCAUAAUACCUGUACUGAAGAAAUUCUGUACAAGCUGGAACAGGGUAUAGCUUAAGGACAAGAGGACUGUGGUCCAAACCUAUUGCUGGAAGGGCAUGGACUUCCGCAUCAUGAAAGGGCUAGCCACCAGAGCCCAAUCUAUUCCUUCUGCAAGCAACUUCACUGGAGUCUCCAUCAUACUCGAGUCAUCUAUGAGAAUUGGAGAUGGUGCAGGGACUUCCAUAAUCUCCUGCUCCUUGGAAUUUUCUACUCGCUUAUUGCUGCAAGCUUCUAGUCUCAUUUCU